rnacentral:rRNA from 1 species
AUUGAACGCUGGCGGCAGGCCUAACACAUGCAAGUCGAACGAGUGGCGGACGGGUGAGUAAUGUCUGGGAAACUGCCUGAUGGAGGGGGAUAACUACGGGAAACGGUAGCUAAUACCGCAUACCAUCGGAUGUGCCCAGAUGGGAUUAGCUAGUAGGUGGGGUAAAGGCUCACCUAGGCGACGAUCCCUAGCUGGUCUGAGAGGAUGACCAGCCACACUGGAGCGGAGACACGGCCCAGAGUCCUAGGGGAGGCGGCAGUGGCGAAUAUUGCACAAUGGGCGCAAGCCUGAUGCAGCCAUGCCGCGUGUAGGAAGAAGGCCUUCGGGUUGUAAAGUACUGUCAGCGGGGAGGCGUUACCCGCAGAAGAAGCACCGGCUAACUCCGUGCCAGCAGCCGCGGUAAUAC